rnacentral:rRNA from 1 species
CCUACGGGGGGCAGCAGUGAGGAAUAUUGGUCAAUGGGCGCGAGCCUGAACCAGCCAAGUCGCGUGAGGGAAGACGGUCCUAUGGAUUGUAAACCUCUUUUGUCGGGGAGCAAAAGACGCCACGCGUGGCGUUCCGAGAGUACCCGAAGAAAAAGCAUCGGCUAACUCCGUGCCAGCAGCCGCGGUAAUACGGAGGAUGCGAGCGUUAUCCGGAUUUAUUGGGGUAAAAGGGUGCGCAGGCGGAAGAUCAAGUCAGCGGGAAAAUUGAGAGGCUCAACCUCUUCGAGCCGUUGAAACUGGUUUUCUUGAGUGAGCGAGAGGUAGGCGGAAUGCGUGGUGUAGCGGUGAAAUGCGUAGAUAUCACGCAGAACUCCGAUUGCGAAGGCAGCAUACCGGCGCUCAACUGACGCUCAUGCGCGAAAGUGUGGGUAUCGAACAGGAUUAGAUACCCCUGUAGUC